UGGGGAAUAUUGCACAAUGGGCGAAAGCCUGAUGCAGCGACGCCGCGUGAGGGAUGACGGCCUUCGGGUUGUAAACCUCUUUCAGCAGGGACGAGGCGCAAGUGACGGUACCUGCAGAAGAAGCACCGGCUAACUACGUGCCAGCAGCCGCGGUAAUACGUAGGGUGCAAGCGUUGUCCGGAAUUACUGGGCGUAAAGAGUUCGUAGGCGGUUUGUCGCGUCGUUUGUGAAAACCAGCAGCUCAACUGCUGGCUUGCAGGCGAUACGGGCAGACUUGAGUACUGCAGGGGAGACUGGAAUUCCUGGUGUAGCGGUGAAAUGCGCAGAUAUCAGGAGGAACACCGGUGGCGAAGGCGGGUCUCUGGGCAGUAACUGACGCUGAGGAACGAAAGCGUGGGUAGCGAACAGG
rnacentral:rRNA from 1 species